UACGGAGGAUGCGAGCGUUAUCCGGAUUUAUUGGGUUUAAAGGGUGCGUAGGCGGGCUUUUAAGUCAGCGGUAAAAAUUCGGGGCUCAACCCCGUCCGGCCGUUGAAACUGGCUGGCUUGAGUUGGGGAAAGGCAGGCGGAAUGCGCGGUGUAGCGGUGAAAUGCAUAGAUAUCGCGCAGAACUCCGAUUGCGAAGGCAGCGUACCGGCGCCAGACUGACGCUGAGGCACGAAAGCGUGGGGAUCGAACAGG
rnacentral:rRNA from 1 species